UACGUAGGGGGCAAGCGUUGUCCGGAUUUACUGGGCGUAAAGCGCGCGUAGGCGGAAGGUGAAGCGUGGCCUGAAAGCCCCGGGCUCAACCUGGGAAUUGCGAUGGAGACUGCAAGGCUAGAGUUUGGCAGAGGGGGGUAGAAUUCCACGUGUAGCAGUGAAAUGCGUAGAUAUGUGGAGGAACACCGAUGGCGAAGGCAGCCCCCUGGGUCAAAACUGACGCUCAUGCACGAAAGCGUGGGGAGCAAACAGG
rnacentral:rRNA from 1 species